rnacentral:rRNA from 1 species
AUUGAACGCUGGCGGCAGGCCUAACACAUGCAAGUCGAGCGGAUGAAGGGAGCUUGCUCCUGGAUUCAGCGGCGGACGGGUGAGUAAUGCCUAGGAAUCUGCCUGGUCGUGGGGGAUAACGUCCGGAAACGGGCGCUAAUACCGCAUACGUCCUGAUGGAGAAAGUGGGGGAUCUUCGGACCUCACGCUAUCAGAUGAGGCUAGGUCGGAUUAGCUAGUUGGUGGGGUAAAGGCAUACCAAGGCGACGAUCCGUAACUGGUCUGAGAGGAUGAUCAGUCACACUGGAACUGAGACACGGUCCAGACUCCUACGGGAGGCAGCAGUGGGGAAUAUUGGACAAUGGGGGAAAGCCUGAUACAGCCAUGCCGCGUGUGUGAAGAAGGUCUUCGGAUUGUAAAGCACUUUAAGUUGGGAGGAAGGGCAGUAAGUUAAUACCUUGCUGUUUUGACGUUACCAACAGAAUAAGCACCGGCUAACUUCGUG